AAGUCGUAACAAGGUUUCCGUAGGUGAACCUGCGGAAGGAUCAUUAUCACGUUAUCCACGUUAUAAACCAAUCGCGCACUGUCUACCUUCAAUCGAUGGAUGGGAAACUCUCUUGUUAUGUGGUUUGAGAGCUCUCGUAUUUCAACCGUCGUUUGAAGUGUAUUUUAACCGCAUUUUAUUUACCACUUGAACCAAAUCUUAUUAAAUGUUUAAGCUGAUUUGUUUCUUACUCUGGUUGAGUAACAUCGACCUGGAGAAGAAAUUAUAUUACGAAACAAAAGAACAACUCUUAGCAACGGAUAUCUUGGUUCUC
rnacentral:misc_RNA from 1 species